AUUGAACGCUGGCGGCAGGCCUAACACAUGCAAGUCGAACGAGUGGCGGACGGGUGAGUAAUGUCUGGGAAACUGCCCGAUGGAGGGGGAUAACUACUGGAAACGGUAGCUAAUACCGCAUACCAUCGGAUGUGCCCAGAUGGGAUUAGCUAGUGGGUGGGGUAAUGGCUCACCUAGGCGACGAUCCCUAGCUGGUCUGAGAGGAUGACCAGCAAACCUGGAACUGAGAAAAGGUCCAGACGCCGACGGGAGGGAGCAGUGGGGAAUAUUGCACAAUGGGCGCAAGCCUGAGGCAGCCAUGCCGCGUGUAUGAAGAAGGCCUUCGGGUUGGAAAGUACUUUAAGCGAGGAGGCGUUACUCGCAGAAGAAGCACCGGCUAACUCCGUGCCAGCAGCCGCGGUAAUUC
rnacentral:rRNA from 1 species